rnacentral:misc_RNA from 1 species
CGACCACGAUUGUGAUGAUGAUUGUGACGAUGAUUGUGAUGAUCAUGAUGAUUGUGAUGAUAAUGGCCACCACCAUCACCAUCAUCACAGAUGGA